UACGUAGGGGGCAAGCGUUGUCCGGAUUUAUUGGGCGUAAGGAGCGUGUAGGCGGCCAUGCAGGUCCGUCGUGAAAACUCGAGGCUCAACCUCGAGACGCCGAUGGAAACCGCAUGGCUAGAGUCCGGAAGAGGAGAGUGGAAUUCCUGGUGUGGCGGUGAAAUGCGCAGAUAUCAGGAGGAACACCCGUGGCUAAGGCGGCUCUCUAGUACGGUACUGACGCUGAGACGCGAAAGCGUGGGGAGCGAACAGG
rnacentral:rRNA from 1 species